rnacentral:rRNA from 1 species
GAUGAACGCUGGCGGCGUGCCUAAUACAUGCAAGUCGAGCGAACGGACGAGAAGCUUGCUUCUCUGAUGUUAGCGGCGGACGGGUGAGUAACACGUGGAUAACCUACCUAUAAGACUGGGAUAACUUCGGGAAACCGGAGCUAAUACCGGAUGAUAUUUUGAACCGCAUGGUUCAAAAGUGAAAGACGGUCUUGCUGUCACUUAUAGAUGGAUCCGCGCUGCAUUAGCUAGUUGGUAAGGUAACGGCUCACCAAGGCAACGAUGCAUAGCCGACCUGAGAGGGUGAUCGGCCACACUGGAACUGAGACACGGUCCAGACUCCUACGGGAAGCAGCAGUAGGGAAUCUUCCGCAAUGGGCGAAAGCCUGACGGAGCAACGCCGCGUGAGUGAUGAAGGUCUUCGGAUCGUAAAACUCUGUUAUUAGGGAAGAACAUAUGUGUAAGUAACUGUGCACAUCUUGACGGUACCUAAUCAGAAAGCCACGGCUAACUACGUG